GAAUGAGCCAGUUACUGGUGAGCCAGGAGUGAGUGAGUGGGAAUUCACAUUCCUGGGAUUGCAGGAUGGAUCAGAGAAUAUUUUGCUGAUGGAGAAGCCAAGGUCUGCUAAGGUAUCAGGACAGAUCUGUUAGUGGCAAAACACCAGGCUAGAUACAGGACAAGGUAGAAGAAAGAUCCUUAACUUCAACUGAAAGUCAGAGGGAAGGUCAAGGCCAACAGAGGUAUUUCAAGAGCCAAUAAUGACACUGUCCAGAGUAAUGAGAUAUCAAAA